rnacentral:sRNA from 1 species
CACUAUGGCUUCCCAGUAUCAGGGCCAGCUGUGUAGUGGCUCGGUGUGAUUUGUUAGCUCUUUGAGGCAGGGUACCCUCCUCAGGAUUUCGACAUGCAAAAAAUCAAAUCUCUCAUGACCCGACAGGGUCUGAAAAGCCCUCAAGAAAGCCUCAGUGAUCUUGGUGCCAUAGAGAGUCUCCGGGUCCCUGGAAAGGAAGAAUUCAGGGAACUUCGAGAACAGCCAAGUGACCCUCAAGCUGAACAAGAGCUUAUUAAUAGUAUUGAACAAGUAUAUUUUUCUGCGGAUUCAUUUGAUAUUGUUAAAUAUGAGCUGGAGAAGCUUCCACCUGUUCUCAAUUUGCAAGAAUUAGAGGCGUAUAGAGACAAAUUGAAACAACAGCAAGCUGCAGUAUCUAAAAAAGUGGCAGAUUUAAUCCUUGAAAAACAGCCUGCUUAUGUAAAGGAACUUGAAAGAGUUACCUCAUUGCAGACAGGUCUUCAAUUAGCUGCUGUUAUCUGUACAAAUGGGAGAAGGUAUUGCUUUUGAUGAUAUUUUGUUUUUUAAGCUGGACAAUAUUUCAAGAAUAACUAU